GAUGAACGCUGGCGGCGUGCCUAAUACAUGCAAGUCGAGCGAACAGACGAGGAGCUUGCUCCUCAGACGUUAGCGGCGGACGGGUGAGUAACACGUGGAUAACCUACCUAUAAGACUGGGAUAACUUCGGGAAACCGGAGCUAAUACCGGAUAAUAUAUUGAACCGCAUGGUUCAAUAGUGAAAGACGGUUUUGCUGUCACUUAUAGAUGGAUCCGCGCCGCAUUAGCUAGUUGGUAAGGUAACGGCUUACCAAGGCGACGAUGCGUAGCCGACCUGAGAGGGUGAUCGGCCACACUGGAACUGAGACACGGUCCAGACUCCUACGGGAGGCAGCAGUAGGGAAUCUUCCGCAAUGGGCGAAAGCUUGACGGAGCAACGCCGCGUGAGUGAUGAAGGUCUUCGGAUCGUAAAACUCUGUUAUUAGGGAAGAACAAAUGUGUAAGUAACUAUGCACGUCUUGACGGUACCUAAUCAGAAAGCCACGGCUAACUACGUG
rnacentral:rRNA from 1 species